UUAAUGGUUCUGAAUACACCUGUGCUUUUCCUACUAUGACAUGUCAACAUGUCUGCUGUGAAAAAGGUCUAUGCAUUCAUAACAGACUAAAAGUAAAUCCACAAUAACAAAUGGAACUGUUGGCUGAAGGAACAAAAUGUGUAAAAAUAACAUUUAUUCUUGCCACCAGCGACAGCGAGGCCGCAGCAUAGACUGUAGCUGCAGGGCCGCAACUAGCUAGCUAGCUAGCUAGCAACAGCAAUGGUUCAGCUAGCUGCGCGGUAACGUUAGCGCGGACGACAACACGGACGUUGCAGAGCCACAAACAAGCGGAAGAGGCCGAAGAAUCAAGACUUUGACACUGCACUUGUGACAGAAAUGACGGAUAAACAACCAAAAGCCUUGGAAAGUGGAUUUCGGAGCCGGCAGCAACUAGAGAUGCUCAAUACGAUUUCUUCCCAAAUUCCAACAAAAACUGGAUUGCGGAGCCUAGCCUGUUAACUAGCUAACGUUAGCCUACACGAAGGCAGUACGGAAGCUUUACUGUCCAAGUCGCUGUAUUCUUCCUGGUUCCAGCAGCACUGACCCAACUGUGGAGGGAAAUGUAAAGCAUCUGCCAAAAGAGAGCCUGUGGCCAAUCCCAGCAUGCGAAGUUCAGAAGAACCACUCUGGACAGGUCACCACUUCAC